AAAGUGAUAUAAAAUUUCUGAUUUCAAACUACUAGAAUAUUUUUUCUUAAUUUUCAUUAUAUUUUUCACACCUUUUCGCGGAGUUUCUUUCGGGCGAGCGUGGAAAUUUAUUUGCUAUAAAAUUAAAUAUAAAAUCUUUACAGAAUGCAUUCAAUUUUAAUUUUCCACUGACAAAGGCAUUAAUUCUUCAUAACAGGUCCAUCAAAGCCGAUGGUAGACGUACACGAAGCUCGUUUAAGCGGACAAGAUUAAAAAAGUUGAUGAAAUAUUCGUUAAAUAAAGAUCUUUGUGGUAGUGUAUAUACAUAUUUACACAAUUAUAAACGGUACUCCCCGAAUAAACCAAAUUGCAUGCAAGAAAGAACGCAAGUGCGGGAAAAAUUUGGCUGGCUCAGUGAAUUGUGUUCAGCCAUUGCGUUAACACUAACAAAAAGGUAAGACGAUACGAAACUCUCGCUAAUUGCAGAUAUGAAAUUGCGUUCCUCGAUUAAUUUUUCGAGGCUGGUAACAAAGCCAAAUGACAGAACUUCGAACAGCCUAUCAUUUCGAAGCCUUAGGACCUCUCAGUGAAUAAUGAUUCAAAGCGCUCUCACGAAUUAAAGAGCUUUCGGCGCGAAUUCUCUCAUUGUCUACUAUUUCCUGUCGACUAAAAAUAAUUGCCUUUGACGAGAUGUUUUGAUUUCGACUCUGUCAGAGGUUGCCUGUUGGGAAUUGACUCGUUUAAGUAUAUCUUCAGCACCCUCUAGACCAGAACAAGUGAUAUCUUCCAAUACAUCUCGGCCGCUUUUGAAUGCCCUGUGUCUUUCACAUGCUCAAACUUUCGACAAACUCGAAAAAACACGUCCACUGUAGAACAAAAUAAAAAGCCAAAGUAUUGGGCGUGUCUAUGACGAGUUGUAAUAAUCUCGCCAACACAUUAAAUAGCAAAUUAUCCUUAAUUAAACUAAAAUUAAAACACCUCGACCUUUUGUACCAAGCCAGAAUAAUGCCCACUUAAGCCGAUAAAAAGUUUUUUUUACGGCAAAUGACCAACUUCUUUCAAAGAUAGGAAGCAGAAAGCAAUGUUUACAAGCGCCAACUAUGAGCCUUCGCCACCGUCACCGUCACCGCCACACAAGUAACGAUUCACAAAGAAGAAAGUAACUCAAUUGAAACAGGUGGCAUUACCACAGCAAACAGCAGUAGUUGCCAUGGCAACAAUCCGCCUGUACAAUCGCUGAAAAGUAAAUAAAAUAUUUGUGAACGCAGCAACACACAAACAGAUAUACAAACACAGAAGAAGCAGCAUAAAGUGUAGUCACAGUACAAAAGUUACGCUUCCCGGAGUGUGAGUAGUCCAACGCCAACGCUGCUGCUUCGCUUUGCUGGUCACUCGGGCGUGUAUGUAAUGUGCAUGUUGCACUUUGGUUGUUGUACUCACACAAACGUACACGGUUGUUGUGUUGAAUAUAGAAAUAAAAUUGGCAUACAAAUAAAUGUUUUUAAACAAAUAUGCGUACACAUUAGGGUGUACCAAUUUUUUUUUUUUUAUUUUUUAUUAAUUUUUAUAUCUUUUGAUUUUGUGCUCGGGAAGCGCUGACAAUUUUA